GACGAACGCUGGCGGCGUGCCUAACACAUGCAAGUCGAACGGAGCACUUCGGUGCUUAGUGGCGAACGGGUGAGUAACGCGUGAAGAACCUGCCUUUCAGUGGGGGACAACAGUUGGAAACGACUGCUAAUACCGCAUAAUUCCAUUUACCGCAUGGUAGAUGGAUGAAAGGCGCUUUUGCGUCACUGAUGGAUGGACCCGCGGUGCAUUAGCUAGUUGGUGGGGUAACGGCCUACCAAGGCUGCGAUGCAUAGCCGACCUGAGAGGGUGAUCGGCCACACUGGGACUGAGACACGGCCCAG
rnacentral:rRNA from 1 species